rnacentral:lncRNA from 1 species
CGUAGCCCCACCUCCUCCCUCGUCUUCUCCGGACUCCGCGGGAGCAGUUAGGUGCCCAGAGUCUCCUGAGAAAGUGGAGGGCGCGCCCGGGAGGCUGCGCUGCUGUCAGACGUGUCCAUCACCACAUGUGACAUUAAUGACAUCAUCCUGACCUCGCAGGAUCCCAGAAUAAUGGUGCUUGAAGGAUUUUCCAAAGUCAUCUACUUGCAACUCUCUUGAAAACUUUAAAGACAUUGGCCUGAAAGUUUCAGUGACUUGUCCAGGGAAACCCGGUUUGUGACAGAGUCAGAAGGAAAACUGCAGUUCCCUCUCAGAUGAGUCACCAAAAGCAUCUUAUCAAAGGGGACUUCUCAGGAAUACAUCCCAGCUGAAACGAACAAUUAAAAAUUCCUGCCUUCAAGCAUCCCAUUUCUUUUCUGUGAAUUUUCUGUACCAAAAGGUGUCGGUGUCAUUCAAGCACGUGCCUGUGGAGUUCCCCAGGAGGAGUGGCCGCAGGUGGAGUCUGCACAGAGGACCCUGUACAGAGACGUGGUGAAGCUGGAGAACUACAGUUGCCUUGUCUGGUGGGUGAGCAGACCUUACCAUGUGACUCCCUUUAGUCUGCAGAUUUUGUGUUUUCUUUUUUAACUAUUAACCAAUUUUGUCGAGGUGUGUAUAAGAAAAAAUAAAACUCAGCACUUUUCAGUGUACAAGUGAGUGCGUUUUCAAAAAUGAUAUAGUAGAUGACCAUCAUCAAAAUCAUGAUUUGGAAUAUUUCCAUCAUGCCAAAAACAUUCUUGUACUACUUUGCGGUAAGUCCCCUCCCUCCACCCCUACCUCUCAGAUGCCUGAGAGUAAUCACUGGUCUGUUUUCUAUUGCGGUAGUUUUGCCUUUUCUUGACUUUCAUAUCGGUGGAAUCACAGACUCUUUUUGUACAUGAGAAAGAUUGGCUCUGAGCUAACAUCUGUUGCCAAUCCUCCUCUUUUUACUUGAGGAAGAUUUUAGUUGAGCUAACAUCUGUGCCAAUCUUCCUCUAUUUUAUGUGGGAUGCCACCACAGCGUGGCUUGAUGAGUGGUGCUAGGUCCAUGCCUGGUAUCCGAACCCAUGAACCCCAGGCCACCAAAGGAGAGCAAACUUAACCACUAUGCCACUGGGCCAGCCCCGAGUAUCGACUGUCUUUUGUCUGGCUUCUUUUACUCAGCAGAAUGCUUUUGAGACUCAUGUAUGUAUGUGAAUCACUAGUUUCUUCUUUCUGUUCUGAGUAGUGUUCCCUUGUGUGCAUAAACCACAGUUUGUUUUCCUUUCACUUGAUGGACACAUGGGAUUUUUUCCAUUUGGGGCGAUUAUGAAUAAAACUUCAAUGAAUAUUUACAUACAGUUUUUUGUGUUGACACGUUUUCAUUGCUUGUAUAAGCACCUAGGAGUGGGCUUGCUGGGUCUUCUGGUAAGUUUAUAUGUAACUGUGUGAGACGCUACGAAUGUGUCCAAGCUGGCUCUACUGUUUUUCAUGCCUAUAAGUAAUGUCUGAGAGUUCUCAUUGCUCUCUCGUUACCAACAGAUGCUUUGGUAAGUCUUAAUAUUUUUAACCAUUCUGGUUAGUGUCUGAUUGUAUCUUACUGAGUUUUAAUUUGCAUUUCCUUGGUGAAUGUGUUGAACUUCUUUUCGUUUGCUUUUUAACCAUUUAUAAUCUCCUUUAAUGAAGUGUCUGAUCAAAUAUUU